GUGCUUGCUUCAGCAGAAUGUACACUAACAUUGGAAUGAUGCAGAGAACAGGAGCAUGGCCCUCUGAGCAAGGGUGACAUGCAGAUUGUGAAGUGCAUCAUAUUUUU